CGUGAGAUGUUGGGUUAAGUCCCGCAACGAGCGCAACCCUCGCCCUUAGUUGCCAUCAUUCAGUUGGGCACUCUAAGGGGACUGCCGGUGAUAAGCCGCGAGGAAGGUGGGGAUGACGUCAAGUCCUCAUGGCCCUUACAGGCUGGGCUACACACGUGCUACAAUGGCGGUGACAAUGGGCAGCGAAGGGGCGACCUGGAGCUAAUCCCAAAAAGCCGUCUCAGUUCAGAUUGCACUCUGCAACUCGAGUGCA
rnacentral:rRNA from 1 species